CUCACUCUCUCACCUCCAGCUCAUAUUCCUGAAGCUUCUUUCCCUUUCUUAUUUUUCCUAACAUAAACCCUCCACACUUUGGGCCUGCUCUCUUGUGUUUUGGCCCACUCUCUACCAACGGUCCUAUCAGAGAACUUCUCACAGCCCUUCUCAUUCUCUUCUCUCAUCUCUAAAACUCAACUCAUAAACACACCAUAUAUUGAGGGUUUUGGAAAAUUUGGAACUCUCAACCAAGGG
rnacentral:lncRNA from 1 species